UAUAUAAUUAUACGUAUAAAACUACUUAAUUAUCGAUAUUGAAUAUGAUUAGGUAUCAUUAAAAUUAAAUUAUUAUUUCGAACUUUAUUAACAUUAGGCGAACAGCUCAUCGAAUAGUUUAUCGCUGACUUCAAAAAUGGACACUCGAAUUUCGCAUCAUUUGACAAUAGUAAUAUUUCUUAAUAUUUUGUUAAUCACUCAGGGAGCAAAGCGCAAAUAUGUAGAUUUUACUAAUAUAGAGAUUGACAACCGCCUCCCAAAAGUAAUAAUAACUCUAAACCACUGGAUAAACCGCACUAGCAAUAUUCCGACUAUCUUCGGAAAUUUUAAGGUUUCUGAAGAUUUGUAUAAUAUAACGGGAACAUAUAAUUUAAAGGUUAAACACACUGAAAAAUUUAUGAAUUACUUCACUCUUGACUUCGAUGUUUGCAAAAGUAGAGAAAUGCUAUAUAGCCAAUAUGCGGCAAAGAUAAUAGAAAGAGAAUUACGGGCUGUUUCAAAUUACCCAUUGAACUGUCCAGUAAAAAAGAAUUAUGAAUAUUAUUUAAAAGGAUUCACAAUUGGCCCGAAUUUAAUUCCAGGUUAUUUACCGAAUUUUUAUUUUUUUUAUCAAAUUUAACUUUUUACAGAAAUCUACAAACCGGUAUAAAUAUAGUUAUUACAGGUCAAGUAAGAAGAAAAUAAAUUCUUCUUUAUAAUAAAAUAAUUAUUUAAUCGAAUGUUUUACACAAGUAAUAUAAUCACGAUAUUUGCAUUCGAUAAAUGUUGGUGUGGUUUUUGU